rnacentral:misc_RNA from 1 species
UCCGGUUUGACACCGGCAGUCUCCCUAGAGUCCCCGGCAUUACCCGCUGGCAACAUGCGAUGGGGGUUGCGCUCGUUGCGGGACUUAACCCAACACCUCACGGCACGAGCUGACGACAGCCAUGCAACACCUGUCCUGGUUCCCGACUUUACGGGUGGGCAACCCUUUCAGGCGCCUACUUCCAGAAUGUCAAGCCUGGGUAAGGUUCUUCGCUUUGCAUCGAAUUAAGCAACGCGCUCCGCCGCUUGUGCGAGCCCCCGUCAAUUCCUUUGAGUUUUAGCCUUGCGGCCGUACUCCCCAGGCGGCGAACUUAAUGCGUUAGCUUCGGCACGGAAGCCAUGACAGCCCCCACACCUAGUUCGCACCGUUUACGGCCAGGACUAC